AUGGCCAAGUCCGGUAAGGAUUCUGGCAGCGAGCCCGAUCCCAUGGAUUGGAACGGUCUCAUGAAGGAGGAGGACGGAUCUAGCAGUGGCGUGCCGGACGAGGAGGAGCCCGCGCUCUGCAUCGCCAUCAAGCGCUCGCGCUUGGACAUCGGUGGGAGCACAAGCCCCGUCGCGUCUGCUAGCUCCUCCACCUCCCGCCGGCAAAAUGCGGGCCGUGGUCGCCCGCCCGCCCCGCCCUGCGCCGCUCAAGAUCCGGGGCAGGGAGGAUGUGUCCCUUCCCCUCCGGCGCCAGCACCUCCAGUCCCACUCCACGCCGCUCAAGAUCCGGAGCAGGGAGGGUGUGUCCCUUCCCCUCCGGCGCCAGCACCUCCAGUCCCGCUCCGUGCUUUACAUUUUAUCUAG
rnacentral:rRNA from 1 species